GACGAACGCUGGCGGCGUGCUUAACACAUGCAAGUCGAGCGAGGCCCCUCCUUCGGGAGGGUGUCCUAGCGGCGAACGGGUGAGUAACACGUGUGCAACCCGCCCUCUGCUCUUUGAUAACUCCUGGAAACCGGGGCUAAUACCGGAUACGACCUCCACGGGCAUCUGCGGAGGUGGAAAGUUUUUCGGCUGGGGAUGGGCGCGCGGCCUAUCAGCUAGUUGGUGGGGUAGUGGCCUACCAAGGCGACGACGGGUAGCCGGCCUGAGAGGGUGACCGGCCACACUGGGACUGAGAUACGGCCCAGACUCCUACGGGAGGCAGCAGUGGGGAAUAUUGCGCAAUGGGGGGAAGCCUGACGCAGCGACGCCGCGUGAGGGACGAAGGCCUUCGGGUUGUAAACCGCUUUCGGCAGGGACGAAGCGAAAGUGACGGUAACGGCAGAAGAAGCACCGGCCAACUACGUG
rnacentral:rRNA from 1 species